rnacentral:rRNA from 1 species
UACCAAUUGUUGCCUCGGCGGAUCAGCCCGCUCCCGGUAAAACGGGACGGCCCGCCAGAGGACCCCUAAACUCUGUUUCUAUAUGUAACUUCUGAGUAAAACCAUAAAUAAAUCAAAACUUUCAACAACGGAUCUCUUGGUUCUGGCAUCGAUGAAGAACGCAGCAAAAUGCGAUAAGUAAUGUGAAUUGCAGAAUUCAGUGAAUCAUCGAAUCUUUGAACGCACAUUGCGCCCGCCAGUAUUCUGGCGGGCAUGCCUGUUCGAGCGUCAUUUCAACCCUCAAGCCCCCGGGUUUGGUGUUGGGGAUCGGCGAGCCCUUGCGGCAAGCCGGCCCCGAAAUCUAGUGGCGGUCUCGCUGCAGCUUCCAUUGCGUAGUAGUAAAACCCUCGCAACUGGUACGCGGCGCGGCCAAGCCGUUAAACCCCCAACUUCUGAAUGUUGACCUCGGAUCAGGUAGGAAUACCCGCUGAACUUAAGCAUAUCAAUAAGCGGA